CCUGGUUCCUCGGUGGCCAUCCUGAAACCUCGUAACCCAGGAGGCCCGAGGUAGCCGAAUUCCUCCUGUCCGGCACCCUCACCCUCUUUUGCAAAGAAGGAACGUUGCAUUGCUGGGGACUGAAUGUUGGGAGCAACACGAAACUCAGAAGAGCACCAGGGUUUGCAGGAGAAGCCAAGUAAGAAAAGUGACUCAGCAAAAUAAACCAUCACCUGUGGAUAUUCUGAACUGCUAUCUUGGGACGCUGGGUGAUUGCCUGGUUCUGGCGACAGGUGCUUGGUAUACAAAACUUUGUUUCCCACACGCCAGCUGUAAUACUCGUGCUCAUCAGCGUACAGAAGGAAGCCCAGGAGACUUGGGAAGGAGCUGCCAUGGACGGGCCUGAUAGCUGCCUCGCCCCUACGCGGUUCUGAGCCCGGGAGCCACAGAGGUCAAGUCCAGUCCAGUGUCUGCUGGGCAGCCCUUGGGCUGUGUGAUAAGUUAGGACACCCUGCCCACCUGACUUUUCAAGUUCAGGACUUUUCUAGGGGAUUAGAAGGCAGGGUACUCCCCUCAUCUACUUCUAUUACGCUUCUCCUGCUCGAUGGAUGGACCCACCAGAUCCCCACACUGUGCAGGCAAAGCCAGUCCCAGCCAUGAAACGUGACACCUGUGAAGAUUCUGACUGGAGGACUGAUACCCAUUAACCCAGGCCCUUUCAAUACAAUCAGGUAAGAAAGCGCUUCAAGUCUUCUUUUUGCAACAUUACCAGCUUGUUCGUAGUGGCAUAGUGCCGUCACUGAAGUCAUAGUGACUUUAAUAAACGUGUUAAAUGGUUCACCAUAGUGCCCCCAAUCAAAACCCACAUUCCAAAGCGAGGCUUCCUUUGUUUACUAAAUAAUAGCCAGAAAAUUAUUGUCUUGG